GCUCAAAGAGGGCAGUGUUUCAUGUGAAACCCUGUGCUAUGUUCUCAUUGUGUAUCAGAGCGGUGUAAUGGAGGCUGCUCUGACUGAGCUAAUGGUACAGACUUAGUGCUCUCCCACUGGGCUCAGACAACCUGAUUCCUGAUCUGGCUGUCUCUGAUUUACGACGCUGGCCCGGAGGCUGAAACAAGCCCAAACAGACCCCUUUGGUCUGGACACAUGGCCCCACACGAUGGCCCAGCUGGUCAUGCAGCUAUCAGAGACUGCGGUAUUUGAGCUGGAGCGGGGAGGGGAGUGAGGAGCUGCCCAGCACACUGUGCUCAUAUCAAAGAGGACUUCCUUCACAACACACCUCCCACCCUGUCACACACACACGCAUGCGCACACACACACACCAACAACAACCUCUGACUUUCUAUAGCCCUCAUUGUAUGAGAGUGGGUUUGAGUGUCAUAAAACGCAGCCUUUACAGAGGAGAGAGAGUUUUCGAUGUCAUCAUGAGGGCUCGGGUCAGGAGAAUAUUGUACUAAGCAAUACAUCAAUGACAGACUUGAAAAACAUACAACUAACUAACAAAAGAGGCUUUCAGACAACUUUCCUAACCCCCCAUUAGGUUCUAAAAGGCCAAGCUUGAUGUUUCGGGGAAUGUUUAGUAGUGUUUUAAAAAUAUGUGCAUUUAAAUGCAUAUGCCUACAGUACUCUAACUGUCAUCGUGGACAAACAGAAUUAUUCGAAACUGACAGCAUCACCCACU
ensembl:lncRNA